rnacentral:miRNA from 1 species
GAUCAAAAGGUAGAUGUACCUCAUUGAUUGGAAGGGUUUCCUUCUGAUCAACAAGGUACAUGUACCUCAUCAACCAGAAGUAAACCUUUCCAAUCAAUGAGGUACAUCUACCUGAUUGACC